rnacentral:misc_RNA from 1 species
GGAUGAAGAACGUAGCGAAAUGCGAUAAGUAAUGUGAAUUGCAGAAUUCAGUGAAUCAUCGAAUCUUUGAACGCACAUUGCGCCCCCUGGUAUUCCGGGGGGCAUGCCUGUCCGAGCGUCAUUACAACCCUCAAGCUCAGCUUGGUGUUGGGCCCCGCCGCCCCGGCGGGCCCUAAAGUCAGUGGCGGUGCCGUCCGGCUCCGAGCGUAGUAAUUCUUCUCGCUCUGGAGGUCCGGUCGUGUGCUCGCCAGCAACCCCCAAUUUUUUUCAGGUUGACCUCGGAUCAGGUAGGAAUACCCGCUGAACUUAAGCAUAUCAAUAAGCGGAGGA